GUAGGGGGCAAGCGUUAUCCGGAAUUACUGGGUGUAAAGGGAGCGUAGACGGUUAAGUAAGUCUGGAGUGAAAGGCCGGGGCCCAACCCCGGGACUGCUCUGGAAACUAUUGAACUUGAGUGCAGGAGAGGUAAGCGGAAUUCCUAGUGUAGCGGUGAAAUGCGUAGAUAUUAGGAGGAACACCAGUGGCGAAGGCGGCUUACUGGACUGUAACUGACGUUGAGGCUCGAAAGCGUGGGGAGCAAA
rnacentral:rRNA from 1 species